rnacentral:tRNA from 1 species
GCGUCGGUGGUCUAGUGGUAGAAUACCUCCCUGCCACGGAGGAGACCCGGUUUCGAUUACCGGCCGACGCA